UAAUACAUGCAAGUCGAACGAGUUCUCGUUGAUGAUCGGUGCUUGCACCGAGAUUCAACAUGGAACGAGUGGCGGACGGGUGAGUAACACGUGGGUAACCUGCCCUUAAGUGGGGGAUAACAUUUGGAAACAGAUGCUAAUACCGCAUAGAUCCAAGAACCGCAUGGUUCUUGGCUGAAAGAUGGCGUAAGCUAUCGCUUUUGGAUGGACCCGCGGCGUAUUAGCUAGUUGGUGAGGUAAUGGCUCACCAAGGCGAUGAUACGUAGCCGAACUGAGAGGUUGAUCGGCCACAUUGGGACUGAGACACGGCCCAAACUCCUACGGGAGGCAGCAGUAGGGAAUCUUCCACAAUGGACGCAAGUCUGAUGGAGCAACGCCGCGUGAGUGAAGAAGGCUUUCGGGUCGUAAAACUCUGUUGUUGGAGAAGAAUGGUCGGCAGAGUAACUGUUGUCGGCGUGACGGUAUCCAACCAGAAAGCCACGGCUAACUACGUGCCAGCAGCCGCGGUAAUACGUAGGUGGCAAGCGUUAUCCGGAUUUAUUGGGCGUAAAGCGAGCGCAGGCGGUUUUUUAAGUCUGAUGUGAAAGCCCUCGGCUUAACCGAGGAAGCGCAUCGGAAACUGGGAAACUUGAGUGCAGAAGAGGACAGUGGAACUCCAUGUGUAGCGGUGAAAUGCGUAGAUAUAUGGAAGAACACCAGUGGCGAAGGCGGCUGUCUGGUCUGUAACUGACGCUGAGGCUC
rnacentral:rRNA from 1 species